CAAGUACUUCCUCCGUUCGGAAUUACUUGUCGCAGAAAUAGAUGUAUCUAAACGUAUUUUAGUUCUACAUACAUUCAUUUCCGAGACAAGUAAUUCCGAACGGAGGGACUGCAAG
rfam:Triticum aestivum genome assembly, contig: Triticum_aestivum_CS42_TGACv1_scaffold_578884_7BL